ACUCCUACGGGAGGCAGCAGUGGGGAAUCUUGCGCAAUGGGCGAAAAGCCUGACGCAGCGACGCCGCGUGGGUGACGAAGGCCUUCGGGUUGUAAAGCCCUGUGGGGGGAGACGAACCGGGUCGUGGCUAAUAUCCAUGGUCCUUGACGGUAUCCCUUUAGCAAGCAUCGGCUAACUCUGUGCCAGCAGCCGCAGUAAU
rnacentral:rRNA from 1 species